GUAGCUAUGUGCGGAAGGGAUAAGUGCUGAAAGCAUCUAAGCAUGAAGCCCCCCUCAAGAUGAGAUUUCCCAUAGCGUAAGCUAGUAAGAUCCCUGAAAGAUGAUCAGGUUGAUAGGUUCGAGGUGGAAGCAUGGUGACAUGUGGAGCUGACGAAUACUAAUAGAUCGAGGACUUAACCAUAUAA
rnacentral:rRNA from 1 species